GGCACAUGUGUUGAGCUGCUCUGGUGCAUUUCUUUUGUUUGUCUAAAGUCUGGGGGACCCUGUACAUUUCCUCAUGUAGGCUGUUUUCUGUUAAACACACCAGGCUAUGGGGAAGAGGCAACAAGAGAGAAGGAAAGGAGACCAGGCGGAAGGGAAGCAAGGUGAAGAGUGUUGGGAUGUGGACUUGACUGUUCUACCAUGCUGUAAGGUGCAGGCAUACCUCUUGAACUUCAAGAGAAGUUUUAUCCUCCAUGAAAUGGAGGUCCAGAUGUUCAGCCUAUUUUAAGAAGUGUAAAGAUGCCUCCAAAAAACAAGGAAUGGAAAGAGUUGUAAGAAGGAUGAUUCCAGGAAACGUCUCCCAGAGGUGGCAUUCAUGGGCCUGUGGGUCACUCCAUCCUAAAUCAAUGUGGGUCCCCAGUUUGCCUCAAAAUUGAAUGGUUCAUAGUUUGGAAAAACAUAGUCCUCUCUCUGAGGUUUUAGCUUCACUUUUCAAGAUAUAUUCCUUUGAAAAAGCUUUUGUUGACCUACCUUCUUUCAAUAUUUUUCAUUUUUGAGACCCACUGCCCAGGAGAACUCUGGUCUAAGAAGUCUAAUUCAGGUUAAGUUUAAAUGUAGCAGUUACAAGCAUGGAUAUCAAUCACAUCACACACACACACACAGCAGCAUUCAUUGUAAGUCAGCAUGCCAGUCACGUGAUCCCUGCUUGCCUGUGGCAUUAAGGUUAGGAUUAGCAUAGCACCAUAUAGACCCGACAACUUGGUCUUGCAAGACUACUCACGUGAAAAAAAGCUUUUAAACCCUUUUUCAUUACUUAAUUGUUCUGUUAUAUUUAUUUUUGUGUAUGAAAAAUGUUACCGGAGUACUUAUUAAGCUUUUAAUGACUCUUAGUAUAUUUAAAGCUUAACCUGAAUUAUCAGGCUCAUUCAGGGCAGUAGGUUAGAAAGGUAUGUUUAAUACAAUUAUUUUCUGAAUGACAAAUAGUGUAGGAAGUGAAAAAACUGCUGGGGAUUUACCUUACAGUGUGAUGUGCCUUAAGGACUGGUGCAAUAAAAACUAUUAAAACAA